rnacentral:tRNA from 1 species
GCUUGGUUGGCUCAGUUGGUAGAGCGUUGGUCUCAUAGUCAAUAUGACGAUUCUAAGAAUCGCAAUCCAAAGGUCGUGAGUUCGAGCCUCACACCGAGCA